GACGAACGCUGGCGGCGUGCUUAACACAUGCAAGUCGAACGAAGUGGCGCACGGGUGAGUAAUACGUGGGUAACAUGCCCUCCUUUGUGGGAUAAGCCUUGGAAACGGGGUCUAAUACCGAAUAAAGGGGGAUGGGCUCGCGGACUAUCGGUUUGUUGGUGGGGUGGUGGCCUACCAAGGCGGUGACGGGUAGCCGGCCUGAGAGGGUGACCGGGCACAUUGGCACGGAGAGACGGCCCAGGCGCCUACGGGAGGCAGCAGUGUGGGAUAUUGCACAAUGGGCGAAAGUCUGAUGCGGCGUCGCUGCGUGGGGGAUGAGGGUUUUCGGGUUGUAUAACUGUGUCGCUAUGGAAUCGGUAGGUGGAGAAGAAGCGCCGGCUAACUACGUGCCAGCAGCCGCGGUAAUAC
rnacentral:rRNA from 1 species